AAAUGCUGUUCCCUAUGCAGCGGCCCGCACACCUAACGAUGUGAACCUCGUUCCGAAAAGCCGGCCGCCAUAUAUAGAUUGAGUCCGCGAAAGUGCCACGUUUCCACAAGUUCAGUGUGUGUACAACUAUCGUACCUCUGUGAGGAUGUUCGUGGCAAUAAAAGCAUUCCCUGCUCGUAUUCAUAAAACUAUCCAAAGCGAUGCGCAUCGCGUGCUUGCGAGGACCACGAGCGAGUAAAAGACGAAGCGCCCAUCUGCGUUCGAUGCUGCACGAGACGCUGCACGAGAGCAACCAGCCAACCGAGCGAGCAUCUAGGACACGGUGGCCCCUUCCUUCACGGGUUCCUGGAUGCGAAGGCACCCUCACGCAAGGCGUCAACGGCGCACUGAUGACGUCCGCCGUCCAGUCUCACUCUGCUACCGACGUGGUGACGGCGGGGCUACGCAGCGGGCAUCGACCAGCCAGUUUUCCCUCCCGCUGCGUUGGCACCGCAAGGACUGCAGCAGGCCUCCUGGCCACGUCUUCCAGCGCAAGUGCCACCAUGACGCCACGUCGCGCUGCACUCUGGGACCAGCAGUACUACCUGGCAUCUCCAGUGUACUGCCGUGCUUCUGGUUCCGGCACGAAAGGCUGCGCUCCUGCAGAGUCAUGUGGGCUUCGACCGACCAGUUUUCGCUCCGGCUGGCCGGGCGCCACAAGGACUGCAGCAGGUGUCCUGGCCACGUCUUCCAGUGCAAGUGCCACCAUGAAGCCAUGUCGGGCUGCACUCUGGGACCAGUAGCACUGCCUGGCAACUCCAGUGUGCUACCGGGCUUGUGGUUCCGGCACGAAAGGCUGCGCUCCUGCAGAGUCAUGGUGGUGGCUGCGAGUGCCAGACCCACAGGUUGCCAAUGGUGGCAUUGCGGGCCUAUAGUUCGCUGGCAGUGUCACUGGACCCAUGCCACAUCUCGCUGCCCUGUGACCCUGCGUAUCACGAGCCGCACCAAGAGGGUAUUGAGCGAGACCCGGUCCGGAUCCAGAUAGCCAAUCCGGUGAUGGAUCAGAUGCUGAAGGACAAGUUGGAUGCGGUACGACAGCUUCUUAUGCGCUGGACGGGUGUUCAGGACGUCCAAAUACAGCGACAGGAUGACUUCGACAACAAGUACAUUGUGGUGAUGGCGAUGGGCCGAGACUGGCAGAUUUGGUUCCUUGAAUAGCUGCUCCUACAACGCUGGCUGCCACAGGCUAUUGACUGUGGAGACCUUCACAGGUUUCUAGGGAAGAAUGGCCAGGCUGGCCCAGCAAAGUGGCGCUCUAGGAGCCUGGCAUCUGCACAGCGCUGAGUACUUUUUGCUCAAGUAGCCAACAUUGUGUGAUCAGACAAGGCACCGUUUGAUAAGCUGCGAUAAAGGAAUUAUUCAUUUUUUUUCGAUAGGACACACCCAUCAUCAGAGGGGACUUGCGAACUCAAGACUGCAUGCAAUUUUCAAUUUCGUGAGACGUUAAUAGUGUUUACAUUUCAUUUUCCUAAGUGUGCUCUAGCAUGUGCGUGAGCUAAGAGUUCUUCAACAAGGUUGCCUGUGUGUGGGAUUCCAUGAAAAAUGCACACAUUGUUGGGAAUUGUAUUCCUGUUUCCACACGUGCACUUGACGUGCACACUUGUUGCAUCUGUUUGUGUAGCAUUGUUGAAUGUACUCCAGAAUGAAAUACAGGAAAACAGUCAUUAGUGAAGCAUAUGUUGUAGAAUUACCUCAUUAUUUAUCAUACCCCUGCUUUUAAAAGGCCUUUUUUAUAACAAAGGCUCUCCAAGAGGUGGUAUAAUGUAUUGUCUUUAUGCUGUUUUGUAACUGGGUUUUUAUGUCCCACUGCCACUUUUUAACAUUGCCUUAGGAAUUGUUCUUGCCCUUUGGUAACAUACUAGUGUGCUUUCUCGUUGCAUUAAAACAAUUUUUUUUACUUGGCAGAGCAUUGCCAUGAUGUGACAUUUUUAAAUGGGGCACUAGAACUGCAAUUUUGUGCAACACUGCCUUUUCAGAUUCUAUUUACUUUUGUGCCUUGUCAGUGGUCAGAACUAUUCACUGCCCACAUCGCCAGUGGGAUCAGCCAGCCAUAGACUGUUGAUGUUAAGUGGCAAGAAUCGAGCGGAAGGCAUCGCUACAAAAUUGCCGUCCACCUGUGGAGCUAGGAUAUGACGACAAACAAUUGCGGUAAAAUCAAUCACGCGAUAUGCCUUCGUGCAAUCUCGUGCAAUAUGCCUUUUGCAGUCUUUCUUCCAUAAUGUUGUCACUUAGUCGCUUGAUAAUUAUGGGUGUGUACAGGUAUACUCACUCAAUAUGCAUUGCCUUUUCAAAAGUGUUGUCACUUAGUUGCUCAAUGUUUGUGUGCACUGCGUUUAUUUAGGAUACCGACUGCAUGAGGCCUUGUUCAAGGAUAUCUAUGCAAGCACUCUUUGCAUCCAUGAAAAAAAAAGCUUAACCUAAUACUAAAUACAUUUUGAUUACCUCAGGGUUAUCA